rnacentral:tRNA from 1 species
ACUUUUAUUGGACAGCAGCCGUCCGAUG